rnacentral:rRNA from 1 species
GAUGAACGCUGGCGGCGUGCCUAAUACAUGCAAGUCGAGCGAACAGACGAGGAGCUUGCUCCUCAGACGUUAGCGGCGGACGGGUGAGUAACACGUGGAUAACCUACCUAUAAGACUGGGAUAACUUCGGGAAACCGGAGCUAAUACCGGAUAACAUGUUGAACCGAAUGGUUCAACAGUGAAAGACGGUUUUGCUGUCACUUAUAGCUGGAUCCGCGCCGCAUUAGCUAGUUGGUAAGGUAACGGCUUACCAAGGCAACGAUGCGUAGCCGACCUGAGAGGGUGAUCGGCCACACUGGAACUGAGACACGGUCCAGACUCCUACGGGAGGCAGCAGUAGGGAAUCUUCCGCAAUGGGCGAAAGCCUGACGGAGCAACGCCGCGUGAGUGAAGAAGGUCUUCGGAUCGUAAAACUCUGUUAUUAGGGAAGAACAAAUGUGUAAGUAACUAUGCACGUCUUGACGGUACCUAAUCAGAAAGCCACGGCUAACUACGUG